rnacentral:snoRNA from 3 species
CUGGCAGAUGACGACAAGCAAGACAGGGACUCUGCAGCGCCCCCGGUUCAGAUCGGGGGUCGCGAAUGAUGCAUCCGUCUAGGGGAAUCUCCGAUGCCAU